rnacentral:rRNA from 1 species
UAAUACGAAGGUGGCAAGCGUUGUUCGGAUUCACUGGGCGUACAGGGAGCGUAGGCGGUUGGGUAAGCCCUCCGUGAAAUCUCCGGGCCUAACCCGGAAAGUGCAGAGGGGACUGCUCGGCUAGAGGAUGGGAGAGGAGCGCGGAAUUCCCGGUGUAGCGGUGAAAUGCGUAGAGAUCGGGAGGAAGGCCGGUGGCGAAGGCGGCGCUCUGGAACAUUUCUGACGCUGAGGCUCGAAAGCGUGGGGAGCAAACAGGAUUAGAUACCCUGGUAGUCCACGCCUUAAACUAUGGAUACUAAGUGUCGGCGGUUUACCGCCGGUGCCGCAGCUAACGCAGUAAGUAUCCCGCCUGGGAAGUACGGCCGCAAGGUUGAAACUUAAAGGAAUUGACGG